rnacentral:rRNA from 1 species
UACGUAGGGAUCAAGCGUUGUUCGGAUUUACUGGGCGUAAAGGGCGCGUAGGCGGCAAUUCAAGUCAUCUGUGAAAUCUCCGGGCUUAACCCGGAACGGUCAGAUGAUACUGCUUUGCUAGAGUGCGGAAGGGGCAAUCGGAAUUCUUGGUGUAGCGGUGAAAUGCGUAGAUAUCAAGAGGAACACCUGAGGUGAAGACGGGUUGCGUGGGCCGACACUGACGCUGACAGCGCGAAAGCCAGGGGAGCAAACGGG